AUUGAACGCUGGCGGCAUGCCUUACACAUGCAAGUCGAACGGCAGCAUGAUCUAGCUUGCUAGAUUGAUGGCGAGUGGCGAACGGUGAGUAAUACAUCGGAACGUGCCCUGUAGUGGGGGAUAACUAGUCGAAAGAUUAGCUAAUACCGCAUACGACCUGAGGGUGAAAGUGGGGGACCGCAAGGCCUCAUGCUAUAGGAGCGGCCGAUGUCUGAUUAGCUAGUUGGUGAGGUAAAGGCUCACCAAGGCGACGAUCAGUAGCUGGUCUGAGAGGACGAUCAGCCACACUGGGACUGAGACACGGCCCAGACUCCUACGGGAGGCAGCAGUGGGGAAUUUUGGACAAUGGGGGCAACCCUGAUCCAGCAAUGCCGCGUGUGUGAAGAAGGCCUUCGGGUUGUAAAGCACUUUUGUCCGGAAAGAAAUCGCACUUACUAAUAUUAGGUGUGGA
rnacentral:rRNA from 1 species